rnacentral:rRNA from 1 species
GACGAACGCUGGCGGCGUGCCUAAUACAUGCAAGUCGAACGAACCGCGACUAGGUGCUUGCACUUGGUCAAGGUGAGUGGCGAACGGGUGAGUAACACGUGGGUAACCUACCUCAUAGUGGGGGAUAACAGUCGGAAACGACUGCUAAUACCGCAUAGGACAUAGGAUCACAUGAUCCAGUGAGGAAAGGUGGCGCAAGCUAUCGCUAAGAGAUGGACCCGCGGUGCAUUAGCUAGUUGGUAGGGUAAAGGCCUACCAAGGCGAUGAUGCAUAGCCGACCUGAGAGGGUGAUCGGCCACAUUGGGACUGAGCCACGGCCCAAACUCCUACGGGAGGCAGCAGUAGGGAAUCUUCCGCAAUGGACGCAAGUCUGACGGAGCAACGCCGCGUGAGUGAAGAAGGUCUUCGGAUCGUAAAGCUCUGUUGUUAGAGAAGAACAGCGCAUAGAGUAACUGUUAUGCGUGUGACAGUAUCUAACCAGAAAGCCACGGCUAACUACGUG